CGGACGGGUGAGUAACACGUGGAUAACCUACCUAUAAGACUGGGAUAACUUCGGGAAACCGGAGCUAAUACCGGAUAAUAUAUUGAACCGCAUGGUUCAAUAGUGAAAGACGGUUUUGCUGUCACUUAUAGAUGGAUCCGCGCCGCAUUGGCUAGUUGGUAAGGUAACGGCUUACCAAGGCAACGAUGCGUAGCCGACCUGAGAGGGUGAUCGGCCACACUGGAACUGAGACACGGUCCAGACUCCUACGGGAGGCAGCAGCG
rnacentral:rRNA from 1 species